rnacentral:rRNA from 1 species
CCUACGCGAGGCAGCAGUGGGGAAUAUUGGGCAAUGGGCGCAAGCCUGACCCAGCAACGCCGCGUGAAGGAUGAAGGUUUUCGGAUUGUAAACUUCUGUCGCGAGGGACGAAGAAUGACGUUACCUCGUAAGACAGCCCCGGCUACAUACGUGCCAGCAGCCGCGGUAAUACGGAGGGGGCAAGCGUUGUCCGGAAAGACUGGGCGUAAAUGGAGUGUAGGCGGCUCAGCAAGUCAGAUGUGAAAUCCUAUGGCUUAACCAUAGGCCUGCAUUUGAAACUGUUAUUCUAGAGUAUGGGAGGGGUAGCUGGAAUUCUUGGUGUAGGAGUAAAAUCCGUAGAGAUCAAAAGGAAUACUCAUUGCGAAGGCGACCUGGUAGAACAUAUCUGACGCUGAUGCACGAAAGCGUGGGGAGCAAACAGGAUUAGAUACCCCUGUAGUC